AGUGGCAUAAUGAGGAACUUACUUUGCUAAUGUAUUUAUGACGUUGGAAGCCCAAUAACACGAUAUGUCUUUUUCAUUUUGAGUGUAUC